rnacentral:rRNA from 1 species
CCUACGGGAGGCAGCAGUGAGAAAUAUUGGUCAAUGGGCGAGAGCCUGAACCAGCCAAGUCGCGUGAGGGAGUACUGCCCUAUGGGUUGUAAACCUCUUUUGUCGGGGAGCAAAAGCCGGACGUGUCCGGCUGUGAGAGUACCCGAAGAAAAAGCAUCGGCUAGCUCCGUGCCAGCAGCCGCGGUAAUACGGAGGAUGCGAGCGUUAUCCGGAUUUAUUGGGGUUAAAGGGUGCGCAGGCGGAUUUUUAAGUCAGCGGUCAAAUCGUGGGGCUCAACCCCAUCCAGCCAUUGAAACUGGGGAUCUAGAGUGUGCGAGAGGUAUGCGGAAUGCGUGGUGUAGCGGUGAAAUGCAUAGAUAUCACGCAGAACCCCGAUUGCGAAGGCAGCAUACCGGUGCACAACUGACGCUCAGGCACGAAAGCGUGGGUAUCGAACAGGAUUAGAUACCCCUGUAGUC